CUGGGGUAUGCGGAGGAGCCGGAGGGGCCGAAGCUCGGGACUCCUGGCACUUACUGCUUGCAUCUGUUGAAGAGGGCUGGCCAAGAUCCCGUUCCUCUGGUCUCAACAGUAAGACCCAGGCUUGCGAUCUGGCAUUGCAAGCCACUCCUCCUUGCUCAUUCUCUGGGUCUGAGUUGUUUGAGUAACUGUACUACUUUUUGCUUUUCUCUUUAAAACUGUGCUUUCAACCAAGCGCGUGUGGUUAGGACAUAUAUCUGAGGAGUUUGCUCAGAGCUGGUUCUAACUGCAGCAAGAACUCUGCUAACACGGGAAGACAUUGUCCUGGAGCUUGUGUUUGGUUAGAGCCAGAAAGGUUGCCCUCCCACCUUGAGCCUGACAGAAGGUUCUGUGCAGUCAGAUCAGAAGAUGCGAGCUAACUACCACUUUGGGUAUUUCUCGAGAAUGAGCUUGUUGGAAAUGAGUGGGAAGUCUUGAGUGCUUGACAGUGAUCCUGGAGGGAAGGCUUCAAGGAAAGGUCUGUGGACCCUCACUACCUAGGUUCCCCCACAGGGUUGAAAGGUGGACCCUGACCCAAGACAACAGCAGUUAGCCAAGGCUGAAGGAACUGCCUCUGUGCAGUUGAGUUAGAACACAUCUCCCAGGGGUAGACUGAACAGGGGGAGCACUCCUGUUCUAAACAGGGCACUCUUAGUUUCAGCUGCAGUGGGAGGAGCAGGAAUCUCCCACAGCCCUGCUAAAGAGCCCAGGUGGUUCCCUCUCAGCACUGCAGAAGCAGGGCCUGGGCCCUUCAUCAGUGGAGACCGCUGAGCCCCCUUAUCAGGUGGUGGGAAGCCACUGAGCUUAAGGGAACUGACUCUGCACAGCCUCCCAGCAAAGUUGUGAGCUCAGUGGGGGCUGCUUCCAAAUACACAGAUCAAAUGGCAGGCUUUUCUCAAACAGCUGAUAAGCUAUCGGCUUUUUGUUUUGUUUUGUUUUGUUUUGUUUUUUUCUGUUUCUCCAACCUUAGGGGGCACUGUAUGCUGUGACUGAGGAUGGGGUAAGGAGAGAGAGAGAGAGAGAGAGAGGACACGCCCUGCCCUACAGCCUGAGAUGCCUCCAUGGGGUUAUUCUCCAUGUGACAGUCUUUGGGCACUCAUUUAUCAGAGAGGAUCAGCUGCGCCAAGAGUGGCCAGGGAGAUGUAGACACUCACAGAAUCUGCUAGACCAGGCGUCCAUCUUUUAGCUUUGCUGCACACUAGCAGGUUCACUUUGGGACUGACGAGUGUCAUCCCACCACUCUGUGCAAAAUGGGGAGGCUGGAAUGUAAUGUCACCUCAGUGUGUGUUUUCAUCUUAGGCUUCUAAUACCGUGCAGCUCUUGGUCCUUUAGAUUCACUUGUGAAAUCUGAAGCCUAGAUCCUUGGUGUUUCACCUCCCAGAGUCCUUAAAGGCAGAGGGUGUUGUUUUUUUUUUUGUUUUGUUUUGUUUUGUUUUUGGUCAGCUUUCUUCUCCUCUGACACAUUGCCUCAGGUGUCUUUCUUAAAACAUUUGUCAAGUGUUACCAAAGUGUUUUAAAUAGCCUGUUUGAAAGCUGCUCUGCCAGAGACUCCUGGUGUGUCUUUCUAGGAGCUCUUCCUUCCCUGAGAAGCUCUCAGAAACAUCUACCUUCUUGCAAACAAACACAAAACAGUUGGGGUGUGGGGUGGGGGAGCAGUCUGGCUCCAGCACAUCUUUUGUAGUCUUUGGAUACAAAGUAGAGACGUCCUUUAUCUUUUGGUCUUUAUCUUUAUAUUUUUGAAGACUGUUCCGGUGCAGCUUCUUUUGUUUUUAUGUUUCUUUUUCUUCCCUUGAACACAUGGGAAGCCUCCUGCCUCAGCUUCCAGGUUGCUGGCAUUACAGGCACUAGGCUGUCACAUUCAGCAUGUGUAUGGGUUUUUAAGAAGGACCAUUCCAGCAAACCCUAUCCCUGAGGAUGUUAGCCCAACGAACUCUUGUUUGCUGUUUCUCCUAAUUGGCAAGCAAACGUUUUUUUUUUUUUUUGCAGAGUUCAUUGUAUAUCCUUGACCGUGAAUUUUUCUGACUUAUCUCUCUUCAUAGAUCAUUUGAGAAGAGUUGAAGAGGAUACACACACACACACACCCCUACCUCAUGGGCAGCCUGCUAGAGAGGAUAGUUACAAAAGUCUGAUCUUCCUAAAGAAAUUUGAGUAAAUUUGAGUUUUCUGUCCAUCCCUGUGACUUGGGCACAUUUCAGAAAUUCUGAGGUUACUCACAGUUUUCAAUCGGCAAGAGGCAAACGGCCCUCCCGACUCCAAGUCUGCUCUCUAGAGGCUGUGGGUUUAAGGUGAAGCUCUGCAAUACAGAAAAGGCUGGCUGCUUUGUCCACAGCUGGGCUCAAGCACACCUCAGCGAAGUGAUGAUAAAGAUCAGGGGCUUACUCUUCCCGUGUGCCCAUGUCUGCUAAAAGGGCUACUAAGUUCCUUCUCCCGGGAUUGAGGUCCACACCAGGCCCUAGGCCCCUGUAGGCCUAGGCCUGGAACAUUUGGCUACAAAAGUAGCCACACCAGUGUGGAGAUGGUGACGGUCCUUCUCUUUGCUAGCGGCUGUCCUACCCACCCUCAACGCAUGAGUGGCUGCCUGGAGUGUUCCUCUACUACGCCCCCUUGUGGUCUGUUUACCUGGAUGCAAAGAAGCUCUUCCUAGAGCUGUAUAAUACUAACACUGGGGUAAGUGUUAGUAUUGCUUCUUGCUCCAUGGAAAAAUGACACUUUAAAAAGUGACAGGAUGUAAAAUUACGAGAUGACAUAAGCAUAUUCCUGAGGCAUACCUAAUUUAAAAAAAAUAAAUAUUCCACAGGCUUAUAUAGAAAUACAAACUGAACUGUAUGUAACCUGAGCAUUUGGGAGAGGGAGGCAGAAGGAUCUUAAGUUCAAGUCCAGCCUGGGCUAUGUAUCAAGACCCUCGCUCAAAACAAAACAUUUUAAAUAGUGGUAUUUUGGCGUUAGAGUUACGUGUGAAAGAUACUAUCGCCUCAGUAGAAAUUUCUUACCUGUUAACUUUUAAAGCAUCAAGUCCAGAUAACUGAAAUAGUAGGAUUUGUUUCAAGGCCUGACCUAUCGACAGCCAGGAAACUGGACAUCUCUACCCUCACACAGAAGCCUUGGUGUUAAGCAGUCACCUCUGGCCAUCACUGGAGUUAGGCCUUACCUCAGAAGGCCUGAGAAACAUUGGUCAACUAAGCCCAUUUCUCUAAGCUCCAAGUCUGCCCACUUGUAAACGAAUCUAAUCAUGGUAAAGGCGUUUGAGGGUUAUGUUAGUUUACUAGCAUGACAAACAUGGUGUUUGGCGUCUGGGAGAUGGUGUUAGCUCUGUGGUGAUCGUGAAAAUGUUGCUGCUUUCUUGCCACCAAACUUUAGGAUGCUUUUGCAUUCUAAGGGGUUGGAUACCUUUUAUAAGCCAUUGUAGUUGGCCAUAUUAUCUUCAAGUCCUGUAUUUUCUGCCUGGUACUGCUCUCUGGUUCCUUGACUGCCUGCCUGGGGUGAGGCUGUCCGGCACAGGUGCAGAGCCGUCCUGAGGCCUUGGACAGUUGGGUCUUCCAUCACGGUUCCAAGAAGCACAAAAGAGCAGAUACUCUUCCUCUUUCCCACACGUACACGUCCUUAUACUUUUUCUUCCUGGAGGCAGCUUCCACACUUGAGUCUUGACUGCAGGUGGCUGCUCAGACUCCCCCGGCCGCAGAAACCUCAGACUGGUGUGCACUAGAGGAGAGCAAGUCUGGGACUUGGCAGAGCCAGCAGCACACAUGGGUUCCAAUCCCUCUGGGACUCGUUACAAAAGCUGGGUAGCUGGCCAGCAGGGCUGGCUUUUGCCAGCUGUCUUCCGUAGGUUGUGACCUGGAUGUAAUCCAUACUGAAACUGUAGAAUGCAAAGAUCCAGGUUUUCCAUGACAGCAUCAAGCAGUUUGUUUUUUGAAAUGCAUACAGUGUGAACACAGACGUCCACCGAAUCCCCAGUGACUCAGGUUUGGGACAGAAGCCAUUCAAAUGAGCUCAGGACUUGGCUCAGUGGUGUUGGCAGGGAUGGGUUCUGCUAGGCUUUGCCAUGCCGGUUGCUGAGCCUGGCUGCCUGCUGUCUUCCAGUCCUGCCUCACAAGCUUCUUUCUGUCUGUUGGAUCUCAUACUCUACUCCGGUCGGCCCUCUGUCUGUGUGAUCAGCCUCACAGGGCCUUCUCAGCCAGCUGUCACUCUGGUCUGCAGGUCUGCUACAGUGGAGGGGGUCGCCAUGGGAACCCCAGCCUUGGCCACGAAGGGCCUGGUGUGUAUGAUCCUGUUUCCUUAGAAGUGAGCAGAGUGGGAGAGAGUGGGAGAGACUGUGCAAAGGAAAAGUGGUAAGAGAAUGUGAGAGGACGUUGGGGGGCUUUGAUGACCGUGACACCGCAUCUAAGUGUGAGCGGCUGUGUGUGGCACCAGCUGCCAUUGUGUUCAUGAAGGUGAGUGUGCGGAGGGGUGAGUGGGCACGUAAACACCACAAUUGCCAGCCAGGCUUGGUCUUCCCUCGUGAACCAGAGUGUGAGUGGAGGUAUAGAGGGCACGUCGGACACCACUCGUUCCAUCUAGAACUGACCUUCCUGAGCCAGUGUCUGAGAGGCGAGUGGGCAGGCACACCAUGACUGACAUCUGGAACUGGGUUCAUUGCUCUUCUCCCAUCGUGUGAAAACCAGCAGCAGGAGCCGCCGCCAGUGGCAUGCAUAGCCCAGCUGGGUCUCAGCCUACCCGUACGCUUUUCCUCUCCCUGUUCGUUCAUUCAAGACCAGAAGGAUGAAAUCACUAAGAAAGGGGAGAGGAACGAAACCAGGGUCUCAGGAUGAAGACGAGCCUAGGCAUAAUUUUACCUCUGAGAAAGUCACCUACCUUAUCCUGAGAAGGCAGAGUGACCUUGGUGAGCAACUUUGGAUCUCCCCAGGGAAAGGGGACUUAAGGAGAAUUGUGAGGACAAGCCAGCUCUCCCUUUUGGUGAAAGCCAGGCACAGGAGACUUCUGGCUUCCCGGAUGGGGGCUCUUGGUUUCUCUACACAGACAAUGCCUCUGUUAACAGUUUCCUGUUUGAAUCAGUUUUACAGUAUCACAGGUUGGGCCUACAGAGAUGGUAAAGAAGCAAGUGCCACUCUCUUAGAAAAUGCAGAUUCCAUAUUAGGUGGUUCAUGACCACCUGUGACUCCAGCUACAAGGGGAAUACAAUACCUCCGGCCUCUCCAACGGGAACUGUGUAUAUAUAUACACACACGUAUGUGUAAAGGGAACCAAAUAUAUAUAUAUAUAUAUAAAGAGCCCAGUCAUACCAUGAAAUAAAGACUAGUGUUUAACCACAGAUAGACCAGGCAGCCAUUAAUGUGAAGAAUCCAGAGGCUGGGAUGCAUUUUUUAAGAAGAAUCUGUUGUAUGGGCCUGAAGAAAAUUGCAAACGCUCUUAAAAUUCAGAUACAGUGUCUGAUUUGCAAAUAGAAUAUGAAAACAGUCUGCCGCGGCACCUACUUGAUUGCAGGCAUAAACCACCGUGAAGCGGCUGAUGCUCUGUGUUCAACCUACAUUAGCAAGUCAUGGGAUAAUGGCUUUGACGUGGCUCUGAAUGUUUAUUUACCUGAGUGAUGUAGGCACUCUGUUUUAAGAGCUAAGGCAAUGGUAGUAUUUUCCAAAGCUGUAAAACCACUUUAAAAAAAAAAACUAUAUCUCUGUGUUAUAGUACAAAUAUGAGUUUGUUAUUUAAUAAUGUUCUUUCAAGUAACUUUAGUAAAUAGACACACACACCCUAAAAAUACACAUGCUGAGAAUGUAAAGCCAGUAUUAAAAUACUGCACAUACUUGUAACCCUAGGACUCAGGCCAGAGAGUGACAGGUUCCAGGCCAAUCAAUAAAGGUGACGAGGUCUGAUCAUGUCUUAAAAAAACAAGGGUGGGGCCUAGGACUCAGCAGUAAUAAGCUGGUUUAGUAUGUUAAGGUUCCAUCCUCAACACUGCUUGCUUUAUAAACAAACAGUGCAAGCCAGUGCCCCACAACUCUAGUUUCAGAUCUGAGUGGCUGUGUUCAGUCACAGAGGACAAUCCCAGUGGCCCAGUAUUGAGCGGUGACAUCUGGUGUGCUGCAGGAAUUGCUUAACAUUUGCACUUGGAGAUCCACUGGCAAGUAGUUGACUUAUUUCUGGAAGAUUUCACUCCCAGUCCCUUCAGGGUUUGGGUUUUGUUUGGUUGGCUUUAUUUUUCACUCACUUGGGGGUGUAACUCCUGGAAGUACAUGCCUAGUAUGUAUGGAGUCUUAGGGUUGAUUUAAUGUGUAUGUGUAUGUGCCUGGAUGUACAUAUGUGGACCAUGUGCAUGUAGAGGUCAGAAGAGGAAUUGGCUGCCCUGAGACUGGAGUUAUAGGCUGCAGUGAGCUGCCAGAUUGUGGGUGCUAGGAAGCAAACUUAGUCCUCAGCAAAUUUAGCACAUGCUCUAACGGCUGACCCAUCUCUUCAGUCCUAUGCAAGCUUAUCUUGAAUUGCCAAACAGGAACUAUCUUUCAUGACGGAUGAGUACUUUAUUAAAUACUUUAUUAAGUUCUCCUAGUAACCCACCCACAGUUCAUAUGUAGGUUCUCACUCUGAAUGGGAAAUAAUUUCCCAUAACUGGGAAGGUAUAAACAAAACCAUGUGUGGGAUGCACGGAGUGGAAGCUGCUGCUGCUGCUGUGCUGGAAAAGACCUAGAAAGGCUUGGACAAUGGAGAGACCCCUCUUCCUUACAGACUGUAUCUCCAUGCCCUCUGCUGGCUGGUUCUGUGUCUAGAAAGGCUUGGACAAUGGAGAGACCCCAUCUCCCUUACAGACUGUAUCUCCAUGCCUUCUGGAUUGGCUAGUUUUGUGUCAACUUGACACAAGCUGGAGUUAUCACAGAGAAAGGAGCUUCAGUUGAGGAAAUGCCUCCAUGAGAUCCAGCUGUAAGGCAUUUUCUCAAUUAGUGAUGAAGUGGGGAGGGCCCACUGUGGGUGGUGCCAUUCCUAGGCUGGUAGUCCUGGGUUUUAUAAGAAAGCAAGCCAAUAAGUAACAUCCCUCCAUAGCCUCUGCAUCUGCUCUGGCUUCCUGACCUGCUUGAGUUCCAGUCCUGACUUCCUUUGGUGAUGAACAGAAGUGUGGAAGUGUAAGCUGAAUAAAUCAUUUCCUUCCCAACUUGCUUCUUGUCAUGAUGUUUAUACAGUUAUAGAAACCCUGACUAAGACACCCUUUCUUGGCAUCAGAGGAUUCUUAAUUGGUAGCCAUUAGUUUUCAGUAACUACAACAGCAGCUUCUCUCAGGGCCUUGACUGUAAGGUCCUUUUAUCCUGACUAAGAUCUGAUUGUCAUCCAGAGGACUCAUUCCAUUUAGGCUGCCGAGCCUCCCACCCCCAUGCCUGACGCCGAAGCACAGUCUCCUUGCCAGUUCCUCAGCCAGGGCGGUGCUGUUAGUAGAAAGAGCUAGCCUGUGGACACCUGGGGAGAUGGUGUCCGCAUUACUGCCAAGCCCUUUUAGUAUUGUUUUUAAUUAUUAACAUCUGAAGUGCCACCCAGUUCCUCUCCUCCUGUUAUUACUAUUAAUCAUAUACCAAGUUGACAGGCAGACAAUAUUGUUCCACAAAGACAUGCCAGCCAUCAGCUGACAACCCUUUUCCUUAGAUGACCUCUGACUCCUGGUUUGGUCUGGGAACAUCUGCUUUAUCCAUAAACUCAAAGUUUUCAGAAGUGACCCAACUAUAGAGAGUUUGUGGCUAGACAGCAAGAAGACAGAAAGCCCAAAAGCAGCCUCCUUCCCUCUUAUCUCAUAAAUCCGCAGGCUCCUCAGGUGUCCCUACCUUAUACAGGUUUCUUAGCACAUCCUCUAAAGGACUGUGAACCCAUAGUUGCUGCCUAGGAACAAGUGGAGUGUACUCUGCAAAGAUCCCUGCCAGCAAACCCAGAAAGCUGAGGCCAGUGUGGUGAGAUGUCAUGGACUCGAAUCUGUUCAUUCUAAAAGACUAAUCCUUUAGUCUCAGAUUAUAUCCUUCUGUGGUGUUUCUAGUGUCCUCAUUUUAGCAACAUAAACACAUUGUUCUCCUACUUGUUGGCUAACCAUUUGCUCAUAACUUGUAUCCAAAGCCUUUGCCUCUGAGUUUCUUUAAAAAUUCGUCCAUGUCUAUCUCUUCUUUCCAAGGCAGAACAGUGGCAGCCUACUUUCGGCCUUGUCUUCCAUCUUUACUGAAGGAUGUUCCAUGGUCGUUCCCAUGCCUGUGGUACAAACAGUCUAGGUGGCCAAGAGUGGCUUGGGAGCCAGCUGUGGCCAGUUAUGGUGUGUCCUUAUCAGUCUUUGUAAUGUCAACCCUUGAACUAAUGCAAGAAAAUGGUCCUCCUGACAAUAGGUCUUGACCCAAAGAUAGCUCUUGGGGACUGCUAAAUGACUUGUGGCUUCUGGCAUACAAGAGAACUUGAGAAAGAGAAAAUUUAAAAGAGGGAAGCAGACAGGUAAAUCCCUGCUCAGGGACGCUCUUCACACCAACAUGAACAAGAUAUGGUCCCUUAUGCUUAGUGAUUGAACUCUUAGUCAGUGAACUUAUGUCAGCUGAACUAAGAGUUCAUUCACUAAACAUGAUCUUCCUCUACUGUACGUGCACACACACAUACACACACAUACACACACACACACCUGUGAAUUGCACCGUUUUCCAGCAGCAGAGCAGAAGUGACUCUCUGCAAUUGUCUGGCUCCUCUCGGAGAACUUUCUGACCCCAAGUUCAUGCUAUUCCUAGGGACCCCACCAUUUUUCUGCCUUGUCAUUUCCCCCCACAGCUCUCUUCCUCUCAAAGUGCCCUGGCCCUCCUGUGAGCAGCCAGGCCAUCUCUGUAGCUGCCCACCCCUCCUUCCCUCUGCAGGCAGCUGGGCACAGCUGGAAAGUUUGAGUUUUGUGGUUAAAAUGAGACUGGCCUCUGGAUACCUGAAAAUCAAUUACAUUUAGUUAACCGCUUGUGUGUAUGUGUAUGCCUCUCAACAGAGAGCCUUUUCCUGUAGUCAGGGAAAGGAUUUCAGUACACAAAGAAGAGGCCAGCCAGUGGCUUGGCCCUGACACAGGCUUCCCGUUGGCACAAACUGCCAACCUCUGAGGUUAGUGCUAUCGACUGAAGGUCCUCCUCCAGCUAUUUCAAGAACUUUUCAGGCUGGCUUCAUGUAACAACGCAGUGAAAUCUUAGGACUCUAGUUUUCAUUCAUCUAUUGAGCAAACAGUCACCGAGCACAGACUAUAUGUCAAACACUGUUCUGGAAAACGGGGACACAAAAGUUUCAGACAGUUCUCUCACCCACAUGGGAUUGGAACUCAAACUGAUAAAGGCGGGAAAUAAAAAACGUAAGUAAAUUGCGUAGAAUGCUAACGGAGGUGACUCUCAUGGGGAAACAGAAGUGGCUUGGUUAAUUUAGCCCAGGUAUCCUGGAACAGUAUGGGAAAACUGCAUAGGUCCUAUUAGGUCAUCGGGUGGAAUACUGAGGAGAGAAGACUAUCUGAUGCCUUGAAGAAGGAAAAGAGAAAUUGACCAGGAGGCUAUUCAGAAAAAGAGCACUCCAGUCAACCAAACAAAGGUCAUUAGGUGUCCCUGACACUGAGGUAAGAGUGACAAAGAAAUGAAGACAGGAAGCUUCUGAACUAAGCAGGUAUAAGAAUCAAACUUGAGCCUGCACAGUUACUAAGCUGAA